rnacentral:tRNA from 1 species
GCGCCAAUAGCUCAGUUGGUUAGAGCAACCGGCUCAUAACCGGUCGGUCCGGGGUUCGAGUCCCUGUUGGCGCA